UGGAGAAUAUUGCACAAUGGGCGCAAGCCUGAUGCAGCCAUGCCGCGUGUAUGAAGAAGGCCUUCGGGUUGUAAAGUACUUUCAGUCGGGAGGAAGGUGUCAAGGUUAAUAACCUUGGCAAUUGACGUUACCGACAGAAGAAGCACCGGCUAACUCCGUGCCAGCAGCCGCGGUAAUACGGAGGGUGCAAGCGUUAAUCGGAAUUACUGGGCGUAAAGCGCACGCAGGCGGUUGAUUGAGUCAGAUGUGAAAUCCCCGGGCUUAACCCGGGAAUUGCAUCUGAUACUGGUCAGCUAGAGUCUUGUAGAGGGGGGUAGAAUUCCAUGUGUAGCGAUGAAAUGCGUAGAGAUGUGGAGGAAUACCGGUGGCGAAGGCGGCCCCCUGGACAAAGACUGACGCUCAGGUGCGAAAGCGUGGGGAGCAAACAGG
rnacentral:rRNA from 1 species